CAAGUUUUUCGUUCCAUGCAGGUUAAGCUCCUUAGAACAAGGGGUAACAAUAUGGUUUGUUGUCUCUCUCUCUAGUAUGCUUUCGAAACAAUAGCUAAAUACUGUUGAGUCUUUUUCAAUAAUCAAGUCACAUAUGAGUUUUUUUACUUAUUUUUUUGGUACUUUUCUUUAGCUAUAAUUUUUGGACUCACCUAAAAUAUAUAUAGCACUUGUUGAAAAGGAAUAUUUAAACUUUAAGAUAAAUAUAAUUUCAAUAGUUUCUCACUUUAAUUUUUUAUUUAAUAUGAAAUAAAUAUUAAUAAUAAUCAAAUAAUUAGAACAUACCCUUGAUGAUUAUGCAUUUGGUUGAAUCAUCUAAUGCUUAUCCAAACAAUGCACUCAAUAUCAUGCAGAAACAGUAAGCUGUCUUGCAAACAUCCACCAUGUUCAGAUACAAAUCAUAUAAUAGACAUAAUAAACAACAAAUGCAGUAAGGGCAUUGGCUACUAUGGGUUUGAUUGUUAUCCUCCGAUUAGAUGUCAGAUGGAUUCUUCUUAACAGUGACCUAUGGAGACAGUGUAGGUCAUCAAUGAAGCAUCAGCUUCUUAUUUCAUGCAGAUAAAUGGUCUUCUCUGAUCCAUCUAUUCUGCCUACUGUCCAGUUUGUCUUUCUUGUGGGUCAGAACUAUGAACUCAUGAAGUAAGCACCAGUGGUGUUGGAGCUGGCCACAGAAAGGAAAUCAAACAAUGGGCAGUAAUUUUUGAAAUAAGAGAAUUUGGUGCUACAUAAACUUGGAGAAUGUUAAUGAACCAUCAGCACUUCAAGGGGAAUAAUUGAUCAAAGUCAAGCGCAAUGUUCUUUUUGUAUUUAACCUGUUUAUAGUUUACUAUCAUAUGUUUAGGACAACCAUGGUGAUAUAUGCAAGGCAUGCAUGCAGGUUAGAUAUUGCAAUGUGCUUGAUUGCAAAGGUAUUACAUGCUUCAUGCUUAGUGCAUGGUCAGGAAGGGUAUGUUCCAGUUAUGUAACUAAACAAUUGUACUUAUGCCUAUGAUAAAUCAUCUGCAAAGAAGAAGACUUGCAUGUGAACACAUUUGACAGCAACUUUGAAUCACUUAUUGUGUUAGUUCAUCCCUUUCACCCACUUACCUAAAUUUUAGUCCAUGCUAUUUGAAUCUAGUUGAUGAUCUGAUUAUUUCGGUUUGCCUUUUUGCGAGGUAACUUUGUGAGAACUCUCUUUGGUUGAGGUUUAUGAAUGUCUAACAUGCUGUGUUACCUGUCAAAGCAAAGGAAAACAUUACCAACAGGACAUUUUUAAUGGAACACAAAGUGCUGACAACAACAAAGGCAAAGGUAAAGUCACUUCAACAUAUCUUGUUAUAGACACUGUGCCACUCUAGGAAGUUGGUAAACUUGAUAUGUAUAUAGAAACAUUUUGAUAAUAACAAAAACAGCUUGAUAUAUAUUGCCUACUGUGGUUUCAGGCUUCUUGAAGAGAUGAAAUUAACCUGGAUGAAGCAGCUUCAUGUUCUAAAAGACCAAUUAGGGAUUGCAUCAAAUGAAGAACAAAGAUGAGGAAUAACUGGUUUAUUUUCUCUUCAAGAUUAUACUGGGAAUGCUAUCUAGCACCUACUGCUGCUGUCUUAAAAUGUUUCAUUUACUACUACCAUUUUUGCAAUUUGGUGAUGGCUGUCUUCCUCCAAAAUUCUCUCUCUCCCACAUGAUCAGCAUUUGCUUGUCAGAUGUGCUCCAGACACAUAAUUACAUUCAGAUAGAAAGAAACUAUUUAGAUUGCAUAACAUUACAUGCUUAUGUAGCCUAUAUUGUAUCAUUAGCACUCAUGCAUCAGCACAUGAUAUGUAGACUGGACUCUAUAAGCAAAUUGUUAGAAAUUAAUACAUGCCUAAUUGAACAAGUAAACCAUCAUCACUAUGUUUAAGUCACAUAACAAGAACUCAAGUCAAAGCUCCCUGUUAGCCUAGACUUUGAAAUAUAAAUCAUACUAUGAAUAGGAGAACU
rnacentral:lncRNA from 1 species